UGCAUGAUUAAGAAGCGUUGGAGACAGAUUGAUUAUUCAAACGCCAAGCCACAGGGACACUUAAAACAUUGAUUCAGACUCUGGAGUACUUCUCAGUGUCAGGGACUGGCCUGGCCAGGACUGGACCCCCGUGGCUGGAGUUCAAGAAGAGACACCCCCCCCCCAGGGCUCCACCCUGCACCCAGGAGUUCUGCAAUCACCAAUCCUCACAGCCCUCUCGCUGGACAGCCACUCCUCCCCUCCCCCAGGGUACUCUGUCCCGGGCUUUCCCCUCUGCCGUUUCUUCUCCAAGAUGACACCUGCUUUCUGCCUUCUUGAAAAGGAUGGAAGGCAUUGGGACACCAGUGGAGUGGUUGAGUAGCGGGACAGCUGUGGUCCGGUCCCCAGGCUCACGCCAGGAGCGCAGAGACGAGAACUGGCAGAGGCCACCAAGGAGGGCUGGGGAUGAUGCCCACACAGCAGAAAGCAGAGCGGAAAUGGAGAAAUGAGCCUGCUUGUGUUAAGCCCUGCAUCCAGCCACACCUGUAACCAGCCCCUUCCCGGCAGCUUUCCUUUCUGUGACCUGGAAAAUUCCUGUUGUUACCUGAAUUCCCUAUGUUUUGGGUUUUCUGUCAUUUGCCACAGAAUGAGGCCGGAUACACUCAAUACCUAACAAAAACAAGGAAUACCUGGACCAGGGAUCAUAAAACUCAUAAGCAAGGCCGAAGUAAGGUGUAUGGGGCGGGGGAGAAGGGCUGGCAAAAGCAGGGGUGCUGAUGCUCUUCCCAGCAAGAAAGCAGCCAGCGAACUUGUUGGAAUUCUCUUAAAGUUACAGGUGUGCCUUGCUUUGCAUAAUAGCUCUGUCUCCCCACCCCACCCCAUGUUUGUAAAUAGAAUUUUGGUGACUUAAAUCUGAUUUACUGCAUUGGGACAGAUAGUUAUUCGAGGCCUCUCCAUAGCCAUCUUUUGUCAAGUGACUGGUCAUAUUCUGAAAGAACAAAUGAAUGGUAAUUUAUUAAUAAUUGCAAUUUUCCUACCUCAGUCAUAUAGUUUAAAGUAAGAUCAACCUGGAUGACUUCGUGGUAUCUUUGUAUAAAUUAGUCAAAAGCCAAGAAAAUCUGCUGAGCGCUGUCAAAUACAGUUAACAACUCUGCAUUCUAGCUCCUUUGCAAGACUGCCGAGCUGGAAUAUAC